GUAGGGAAUAUUGCGCAAUGGACGAAAGUCUGACGCAGCGACGCCGCGUGAGUGAUGAAGGCCUUAGGGUCGUAAAGCUCUGUUGAAUGGGAAGAAAAAAAUGACGGUACCAUUCGAGGAAGGACCGGCUAACUUCGUGCCAGCAGCCGCGGUAAUACGAGGGGUCCUAGCGUUUUUCGGAAUCAUUGGGCGUAAAGGGUGUGUAGGUGGCCAUGUAAGUCAGGUGUGAAAGCCCCGGGCUCAACCCGGGAAGUGCACUUGAUACUGCGUGGCUUGAGUACCGAAGAGGGUAGUGGAAUUCCAGGUGUAGUGGUGAAAUACGUAGAUAUCUGGAGGAACACCGGUGGCGAAGGCGGCUACCUGGUCGAGUACUGACACUGAGACACGAAAGCAUGGGGAUCAAACAGGAUUAGAUACCCCUGUAGUCC
rnacentral:rRNA from 1 species